rnacentral:rRNA from 1 species
CCUACGGGCGGCUGCAGUGGGGGAUAUUGCACAAUGGGGGAAACCCUGAUGCAGCGACGCCGCGUGUGGGAAGACGGUCCUCUGGAUUGUAAACCACUGUCCCCAGGGACGAAGAUGACGGUACCUGGGGAUGAAGCUCCGGCUAACUACGUGCCAGCAGCAGCGGUAAUACGUAGGGAGCGAGCGUUGUCCGUAUUUACUGGGGGUAAAGGAAGCGUAGGGGGGACUGCAAGUUGGGUGUCAAAUCUACCGGCUCAACCGGUAGCCACACUCGAAACUGGAGUUCUUGAGUGAAGUAGAGGCGGGCAGAAUUCCUAGUGUAGCGGUGAAAUGCGUAGAGAUGAGGAGGAACACCAGUGGCGAAGGCGGCCUGCUGGGCUUUUACUGACGCUGAGGCUCGAAAGUGUGGGGAGCAAACAGGAUUAGAUACCCCUGUAGUC